UGGGGAAUAUUGGGCAAUGGGCGAAAGCCUGACCCAGCGACGCCGCGUGGGUGAUUAAGGCCUUCGGGUUGUAAAGCCCUUUCGUGUGGAAAGAAUUGCUCUGUGACGAAUAAUCGCAGAGUUUGACGGUACCACAGGAAGAAGCACCGGCUAACUCCGUGCCAGCAGCCGCGGUAAUACGGAGGGUGCAAGCGUUGUUCGGAAUUACUGGGUGUAAAGGGCGCGUAGGCGGUUGUGUAAGUCAGAUGUGAAAUCCUUAGGCUUAACCUGAGAACUGCAUCUGAUACUGCGCAACUAGAGUACAGGAGAGGGAAAUGGAAUUCCCGGUGUAGAGGUGAAAUUCGUAGAUAUCGGGAGGAAUACCGGUGGCGAAGGCGACUUUCUGGCUGAAUACUGACGCUGAGGCGCGAAAGCGUGGGGAGCAAACA
rnacentral:rRNA from 1 species